rnacentral:lncRNA from 1 species
CAAGGGAAUCCGACCCGCAGCGAUCAGACCCCGCCCCUUCAGGGAGAACACGGCCCGUUGGCCCCGCUCACGGCGAGAGCACCGCCCACAGGCUGAAGAUCCUGCCCCUUCAGGACGGCCGAGAACGCGCCUGCCUUGCACCACCCCCACCCCGCCCCGCGUCCUUCAGGAGAGCCGGAAACGCUCCUACCCCUACUUCGCUUCUGCACGGCCGCGAGAACGCACCUGUCCAGCCCCCUGUUCGCUCCGCCCACUCAGCGCGCGCGGGAGCGCGCGCGGGAGCAGCUCCAACUUUUUCAAUUUGCCGCCAUCUUUACGGCGGCCGACUUCCCAGCCUGCCUCGCGUCCAGGGAGGCGGAGCUCAGAUGAGGUCCGGGGAAUGAGGUGAUUCGCCCAAAAGCACACUACAAAUUGGAGUCACCAGCAGGUCUGCUAUUUUGCCACUAAACCAAUCUGCCGGUCACACCUUGGCUGUAAAGUGUCCUAACAGCCACCUACUUAUGAUUACUGCUUUCUUACCAAUAACCUCCCCAGCCUGUUGUGUGGCUCCUACAUCUUGAACAAAAGCGACCAAGGCAUACAUCUGUAGGAGACCAGAAUAUGCCACCCCAAAAUAUGCCUCCUUGGCCUAAGGAUUAUUCUGAGCUAGUAAUUUUGAGAAACAGAAGCUAUGAAAACAGCAUAAGCUACCCCUUUGAAAGAGAAAUUCACCCCGGCCACCACCCCGUCUGGGAAGUGAGGAGCGUCUCUGCCCAGCCGCCCCGUCUGAGAAGUGAGGAGCCCCUCCGCCCGGCAGCCGCCCCGUCUGGGAAGUGAGGAGCCCCUCUGCCCGGCCGCCAGGCCGUCUGGGAGGUGUGCCCAACAGCUCAUUGAGAACGGGCCAUGAUGACGAUGGCGGUUUUGUCGAGUAGAAAGUGGGGAAAUGUGGGGAAAGGAAGGAGAGAUCAGAUUGUUGCUGUGUCUGUGUGGAGAGAAGUAGACACAGGAGACUCCAUUUUGUUAUGUACUAAGAAAAAUUCUUCUGCCUUGGGAUGCUGUUAAUCUAUAACCUUACCCUCAGCCCCAUGCUCUCUGAAACAUGUGCUGUGUCCACUCAGGGUUAAAUGGAUUAAGGGCGGUGCAAGAUGUGCUUUGUUAAACAGAUGCUUGAAGGCAGCAUGCUCGUUAAGAGUCAUCACCACUCCCUAAUCUCAAGUACCCAGGGACACAAACACCGGAAGGCCGCAGGGUCCUCUGCCUAGGAAAACCAGAGACCCUUGUUCACAUGUUUAUCUGCUGACCUUCCCUCCACUAUUGUCCUAUGACCCUGCCAAAUCCCCCUCUCUGAGAAACACCCAAGAAUGAUCAAUAAAUACUAAAAAAAAAAAAAGAGAAACUCACAGUCUUAAAAGAAAUCGCUCUUUGUAAGGGUGUCUCCCUCUCUGUACCAGGAAGAGAAAGUUGACUCUAAAUCACCAGAGACCCUUAUCAAUGGAGAAGGCAGCAACUUGUUUUGUGUGCUUCUCCGGGUCUUUUUCCCAAAACUGGCCUUCCUCACUCCCUUCUUUGUUUUUAGCUGAAGAUGGUACUUAAACCUGAAUUCUAAGCCACUCCUUUGAGAAUUACUCAUUUUCUUGGGCAUCUCACAUGUAUAUGCAAAGUAUACAUGUUAAUAUAGCUCCAUUUGUUUUUCUCCUGUUAAUCUUUUGAGCUGGGCAUGGUGGCUCCCGCCUAUAAUCCCAACAUCUUGGGAGGCCAAGGCAAGAGGAUUGCUUGAACCCAGGAGCUGGAGAUCAGCCUGGGCAACAUGACAGGAGCCCAUCUCUACGAAAUAAAAAAUUAAAAAAUUAGGGCCAGGCGCAGUGGCUGACACUUGUAAUCCCAGCACUUUGGGAAGCCGAGGCAGGUGGAUCACAAGGUCAGGAGUUCAAGACCAGCGUGGCCAAGAUGGUGAAACCCCCGCCUCUACUAAAAAUACAAAAAUUAGCCAGGCAUGGUGGCAAGCGCCUGUAAUCCCAGCUACUCGGGUGGCUGAGGCAGGAGAAUUGCUUGAACCCGGGUGGCAGAGGUUGCAGUGAGCCGAGAUCAUGCCACUGCACUCCAGCCUGGGUGACAGAGCAAGACUCUGUCUCAAAAAUAAAUAAAUAAAUAGCCAGGUGUUGUGGCAAGCUCCUGUAGUCCCAGUUACUUGGGAGGCUGAGAUGGGAGGAUCACUUGAGCCUGGGGGUGUGGAGGUUGCAGUGAGCCAUGAUAGCACCACUGUGCUCUAGCCUGGGAGACACAGUGAGACCCUGUCUCAAAAAAAAAAAAUCUAUCUUUUGUUACAAGGACUCUAGCUGAGAAUUUAGAAGGGUAGCAAGAAAAUUCAUCUUUCCUCCCCUAAAUAUGCUACUGAUAGAGGCGGGAGACAGCCAAAUGCCAUCCAGGUCAUUAUGCACAGGGGGCUUGCCUAAACAUGCCUACAGUGAAAAAUUCUAUCCCUUAACACAUGUGCAGUAAGGGAAAUAAAUCAGUGUGGAGUGGCUCAGAUUAGAGGCCUACAUGUGCACUGGGGAAAUGGGGUGGAGCCACCAGGAAUUCAUGCUUUAUGCAGGGGAGCCGGGCUUCUUCAGCUCCAGUAUGGUGGCCUGAUAUUCAGUCUGUGGAGUAGGAGCCUGUUGGCAGGACCACCUCUUUGCUAAGGGCUUUCUUUUCACUUAAUACAUUCUGACCCUUCAAUGUGUCCAUGUGCCUAAUUUUUCCUGAUCGGGAGACAAGAGCCCAGAUUUUAGCUGAACUAAGAAGAAAAAUAUCGUGCGUCACUAGUUGGCCUGGAAGAACAAUGGAAUUACUCAUUUGAGAUGUGGGUUUGAAGAAAGUUAUUUUUAGUAUUCUGAUAAGCAGUUAAAAUACUGCUGUCAUGUUUCUCUCUUUGUGCCAGUCUCAUGCAGUUUCCCAGCAAAAUCACAAUUAAACUGAUAAUGUGAUUUUUAUGUUUUGGCAUCCUUUCAGAUUUUGUUUUUUUUGUUUUGUUUUUGAGACGGGGUCUGGGUGUGUCACCCAAGCUGGAAUGCAUUGGCAUAAUCACAGCUCAUUGCAGCCUCAACCUCUGGGGCUCAAGUGAUCUUCCCACCACCUCAGCCUCCUGAGUAGCUGGGACUAUCAGCGGACGCCACCAUGACUGGCUAAUUUUUAAACUUUUUGUAGAGACGGGUUUUGUGAUGUUGCUCAAGCUGGUCUUGAACUCCUGGGCUAAAGCAAUCCUCCUGUCUGAGCCUCCUGAAGUGCUGGGAUUACAGGCCACGAUGUCUGGCCUCUAAUUACUUUGAUAAUAAGUAAGCAUCUCCCCUUCUCUUUUUUUUCUGAGACAGAGUCUCACUCUAUUGCCCAGGCUGGAGUGCAAUGGCACAAACUUGGCUUUGCCUCCUGGGUUCAAGCAACCUCUGCCUCCCAGGUUCAAGCAAUUCUCCUGCCUCAGCCUCCCAAGUAGCUGGGAUCACAGGCGUGUGCUACCAUGCCCGGCUAAUUUUUUGUAUUUUUAGUAGAGAUGGCGUUUCACCAUGUUGGCCAGCCUGCUCUUGAACUCCUAACCUGCCUUCCAAAGUAUUGGGAUUACAGGUGUGAGCCACCACGCCUGGCUCUUUGUUGUUUGUUUUUGAGCUGGAGUCUCGCUGUGUCACCCAGGCUGGAGUACAGUGGCGCCAUCUCGGCUUACUGCAACCUCCACCUCCUGAGUUCAAGCGAUUCCCCUGCCUCAGCCUCCUGAGUAGCUGGGACCGCAGGCAUGCACUACCACACCCAGCUAAUUUUUGUAUUUUUAGUAGAGACGGGGUUUCACCAUGUUGGCCACGCUGGUCUUGGAACUCCUGACCUCAGGUGAUCCGCUCACCUCAGCCUCCCAAAGUGCUGGGAAUACAGGUGUGAGCCACCGCGCCUGGCCGCAUCCCCCACUUCUCUAGUGAAUUUUUUGGGGUUAUCACUGUGUUAAAAAGCUCUUCUCUUUGAGUCCCUUGGGAGAUCCCACUUUCUUCAGUAACACACCUUCUCUGGCCCUUCGUAGCUAUUUACUUUCCCAGUACUCUUUCAUCAUCUUGAAACCACCAUUGCAAAAUUAUAACUGAGACAGUGACAGAGAUCUGACCGAACCAACUCCAUCUUGCUUCUAACUUCCAAGCUGUCCUUGUUCAUUCCUGAGUGUAGGCUGAACUAACUUUGGGAGGAACUUAGUUUAUAGUUUAAAAGAAAGACAAUAAUAGCCCUUUCCCAAAACAAACCCCCAUCUUGCCUGGGGACCAGAAUGCCUUUGUAGGAGUAACAAAUUAGCCAAAAGAUUAGAAAUUAUGAUUUAGGAGUCAUGCAGCUAGAGGCUACAGGAUUCUGACCCUCCCCAAAUUGCUCCCGGGAAUAACAUCACUGAAGUCUAAGAUCAGUGCUUGAGAUAUUUUGCAGACCUCGCACUGGAUGGAUCAGCUGGCACCACCCAGAUCGAUAAACUGGCUCAUCAGAUCUUGUGGCCCCCACCCAGGAACUGACUCAAGCACAAGACAGCUUCAAUUCCCUAUGAUUUCAUCUCUGACCCGAUCAAUCAGCACUCCUGACUCACUGGAUGCCACCCACCCUCCAAAUUAUCCUUAAAAACUGUGACCUCCAAAUGCUUGGGGAGACUCAUUUGAGUAAUAAAAAAAGUCCCAGUUUCCCACACAGCUGGCUCUGCAUGAAUUAUUCUUUCUCUAUUGCAAUUCACCUGUCUUGAUAAAUUGGUUCUGCCUAGGCAGCAGGCAAGGUGAACCUGUUGGGCCAUUACAAUCUCAUAGCAGUGGCAGAAUGGACAGACCAGUGAACCCUGUGCUAGGACAACCUGCACCAGGCCCUGGCUGUUGUAGGAGGUCCUUUUUUUUUUUUUUUUUUUUGAGAUGGAGUUUCACUCUUGUUGUCCAGGCUAGAGUGCAAUGGCGCGAUCUCGGCUCACCGCAACCUCCGCCCCCUGGGUUCAAGCAAUUCUCCUGCCUCAGCCUCCCAAGUAGCUGGGAUUACAGGCAGGCACCACCACGCCCGGCUCAUUUUGUAUUUUUAGUAGAGACCGGGUUUCUCCAUGUCAGUCAGGCUAGCCCCAAAUUCCUGACCUCAGGUGAUCCACCCGCCUCCCCGCCUCGGCCUCCCAAAGUGCUGGGAUGACAGGCAUAAGCCACCGCGCCCAGCCUGUUGUAGGAGGUCUUGAACAAACCACUUAACUUGUUUGGGUGGGGCUUAGUUUCCACGUUAGUAAUCUGGAAGUAACAGUUCUGCCUUAUCUGUCUGUUAGGGUUUUGACACUUAGUGAAGUAUGGGAUUUGUAUACUGUAAAGUGAUUGAAUGUAUUUACUAGGUGCAAUACAUAAAAUACGAGUUUCAAGCACUGCUCUGCUUUUACUUAUAGAACCACGUUCUCACUUUUCUAGCCUGAUCAUUCAAGACCCUUGAACACAUCGUCCUUAUCUCCCGCUCCUCAUUGAGACCCUUCCAGAACACUACAAACUUGUAAUACUUAGCUGUAUCACCAGCAAACCAUGUCCUUCCCAAUUUCAGGACCUUUCAAUGUGCUUUCCUCUGCCUGGGGGUGGGUGGGGGGUGGAGAGUAGUUUCCUCCCAACCCAUGAAACCUCUCCACAAAGGUAGAAGAGACAGAAAACCAUUACUGAAUAAGUAUUAAACCAGAUUGUGAUGCCGUACAUCACAUGCAACCUGCUAAAGGCAACACAAAGACAGAAACUCACUUUUUCUAUGCAGCUAAGUAGAGAUAGCCCAUCACAUUAUGUAGGUUUUGCAAUUUGGAGUCAGGUGCCAAGUUAAGCCUUUGUCCUCCUAAGAAGCUGGACUCUUGGCCCUUUCGUCCCUUAACAAUUGCAUUUUUUUCUUUCUUUGUUUUUGAGACAGAGUCUCGCUCUGUCUCCAGGCUGGAGUGCAGUGGUGCUAUGUCGGCUCACUGCAACCUCCGCCUCCCGGGUUCAAGCGAUUCUCCUGCCUCAGCCUCCCGAGUAGCUGGUACUACAGGCACGCUUCACCAUGCCCAGCUAAUUUUUGUAUUUUUAGUAGGGACAGAGUUUCACCAUGUUGGCCAGGAUGGUCUCGAUCUCUUGAUCUUGUGAUCCGCCCGCCUCAGCCUCCCAAAGUGCUGGGAUUGCAGGCGUGAGCCACCGCACCCAGCCAACAAUUACACUUCAAGGAGAUGGCUCCCAAGAAACAUUCCUGAGUUGAACCUGGCCAUAUAAGAAAAAGACUUGAGUACAUUUGGAAAGGAGAGAGGCUGAAAUUUUGAAAGAAAAAGGGAGGGGGAUGGUUUCUCGUCCCUUCUUUUCCUCAGGGAAAAUUAAACCCUAUGUAUAAUUUGUAUUUGCCCUUCCACCUGCAUCACCUUUCCCACAUGCUCCCACAGGCAGGCUCCUGUUCAUUCCCAAGGCUCCGUGUCCACAUCGUGCUUGGAUUCCGCCCGGCCCCGCCUGUGCGGCCGCACCAGGAAGGCACCACCCAUUAGGGGCUCAGCGCGUCCCUCCAGGCCACGCCGUCAGGCCUCCGUCCUUUUAGCUGUAGGGGCAGAUUACGUAACUCCAGCCUUCUGGUCACUAAAGGAGGGUAACAAAGGGCGGUCGAGAGACUCCACUGAGUUGACACGCAGACGCAGCCUCAGGACCCUAAACUCUACGCCCCAGCACACCCUACCAAGCGAGCGCCCGCGGCCGCGUGACGUCAUCUACCCCAAACGCUGUGGCCCCGGCCACGCACGGCUUCGGGGCGGGACUACGCGGUGACGUCGAGGUGCGCGGCGCAGCGCGCGGCGUCAGUCUUGGCUGGCAGACCUGUACUCCGUACUCCGUACUUCGUAGUCGCAGCGGCGCGGUCUUCGGCAGUCUAGUCAUCCACCGCCAUCCUGGGCCCCACGUGUUGCCUGACCAUUCCUGAGCCCAGGUGGGAGCCGUGGCUGAGGUGACGGUCUCAAAGUGGAAGAGCUUACUGUCACAGCAACUCCUUUGCAAGAUGCCCCGGCCAGGAAUAGUUGCUGAACACCCCAGGCCUGCUGAGGUCCCUCCUUGAGUCUCAUGUUCAAGCAGUCUUGUGAGUAAAGCACUGGCUACCCCUUUUCACUUACUAUCUUUUCAAGCAUGUUCUACCACCUUGGAAGGUAAGAGGUUAGUACCUUCUUCCAGAGCAGAGGGCAGGCAUUCUUGCUGUGCGUUGUGAAAGGGUAGAGUCCUGCGCUCCUUUCUUGUAGUAGUCCAAUGGCUCAUGCAGGUGCCUCUGACUCCCCUAUGGGAACUGGGGCUUGGGAGGGUGGUGGAAAAUGCUGAUGCUCUGGCUAUUGCUAUUGUUUUGAAUAAUCAGUGGUCCCUUGUCCCUAAUCGAGGAAUUUUGUAUUUUCUACCAGUGUCCAUGAAACUGGGAGGCGACCGUGUUAGCUGCCAGUUCCUGACAGCCACCUCUCACCAGUGGCUUCACUCUGUGUCCCUGACCCAGCACAUGGCACAAGAGUGCCUGCCAUCCGUCAGUGUUUCUACAGCAGCAAUCCCAAGAUGCUGGAGCUAGAGGGGACCUGACCUGAGAGAAGAUACCUUCAGUGGCUGCCAGGCUGUUCCUUGGAACCUGUGCAGGGAUGAGGCCUGCCUGUGUUAAUACACCUAGUGAGGAGUGGAGCUGAAUUUGAAUGCAAGCCUUGGCACCUUAAUUGAGCAAGUUUGAAACCUCGCUUGUUGCCCUUCUGGAAGGAGUCAGGAAUUUCCAGUUCUGGGCCUGGGCUGUGGGUCUGGCAGACAGACCUCUGGCCCUAGGUUUGGGUGCCAGGUUCUCUGCUUCCAGAAUGAGAAGCUUUGCUGUGCACCAGGACCUGGGCCCUUCUGGUAUCUCCUGAAUGAAAAACAAGGGAUAUUUAAUAAAUAUGGAUUUAAAUAUGUGA